GAUGAACGCUGGCGGCGUGCCUAAUACAUGCAAGUCGAGCGAACAGACGAGGAGCUUGCUCCUCUGACGUUAGCGGCGGACGGGUGAGUAACACGUGGAUAACCUACCUAUAAGACUGGGAUAACUUCGGGAAACCGGAGCUAAUACCGGAUAAUAUAUUGAACCGCAUGGUUCAAUAGUGAAAGACGGUUUUGCUGUCACUUAUAGAUGGAUCCGCGCCGCAUUAGCUAGUUGGUAAGGUAACGGCUUACCAAGGCAACGAUGCGUAGCCGACAUGAGAGGGUGAUCGGACACACUGGAACUGAGACACGGUCCAGACUCCUACGGGAGGCAGCAGUAGGGAAUCUUCCGCAAUGGGCGAAAGCAUGACGGAGCAACGCCGCGUGAGUGAUGAAGGUCUUCGGAUCGUAAAACUCUGUUAUUAGGGAAGAACAAAUGUGUAAGUAACUAUGCACGUAUUGACGGUACCUAAUCAGAAAGCCACGGCUAACUACGUG
rnacentral:rRNA from 1 species